UACAAGGCAAGCGCUCCACCACUGAGCCACCUUCCCAGCCCCUGUUCUUCCUCUUUGCUAUCAAGUUUUGUGUAGGUCAAGAUUCUUGAUUGGAGGUAGAGGGAUCUUCUUUAAGAAGGCUUUUCUGUUUCUUUAAGCAGAAAAUAGAUUGAAUAAAGAAUAUUGAGAGCUCAAAGAAUCUUUGCUAGAUUUUGUUUUAGAAUUCUUCUGAAGAAACCAAUGUAGGCUGACCUUCCAGGAACUCCUUUACAAGAGUUGGCUGCCAGAAGAACUGCUUUUGCAGCAAUCAACAAUGAAGCUGCUGGCUGGAUGAGGAAGUGCUAAACAACAGCCAGCUCCAGAAACACACCACCUCUGCUGUGCUCUGCCAGCAAAAAUGACACCUCAUUUUCUGCCUACAUCCCUAUCUAACUAUGCUGAGCAAAAGUCUCAGCUUCCCUGAGCAAUCAAGAGUAAACUCACAGAGACCCAGUUACAUGAUGAGCUUCAUAGUGUUUAUUGAAGAUUUUUAUCCCUGAAGAACCUAAUAGAAAAGGCCUCCUUUGACCUCAACUGAAUACUUUUUUCACCUCAUCACUGCUUGUUGAAAUUACAGACUGAGGCAUAUUUAAGUAAAAUGCAAAGUUUGCUGUCUUUGUUCUUUGUAAGUGAUAUUGUAAGAAGACCAUCACAACUAUCUGUUUUGAGGGUGUAAUGUUUGAGGGAAGUUGUAUCUUCCCUUUGCUUUUAUUAAAAUAUAUAUUAGCAGGAUUCAAAUCUUUCCCUACCCUACUUUUAAGCUUGUUUCCUAAAUGAGUAGUUAUCUAUGGAUCCGAAACCAUGUCUUAGAAAAUCUAAGAACUGAGCCAGAACAAACAGUAGCAGCAAGAACUGAAAACCUCAGACAGUAUUGUAAAAUCUGGAUCUAGAAUUUCCAGCACUGCCAGCUGCUUAUCAAGACAGCAAAAUAAAACCAGUGACAUGA